GUCUUGGCCAAAUUACGUGCCAGCAGUCGCGGUAAUACGUAAAAGACGAGUGUUAUUCAUCUUUAAUCGGUUUAAAGGGUACCUAGACGGAAAAUCAAGCUUAAUUAAACUAAGGACUAGUUUUCUAGAGUUUGACAUGAGAAGGUACGAACUAUCAGAGGAGAGAUAAAAUUUGUUGAUACUGGUGGGACGGACAACGGCGAAGGCAAUCUUCUACUAAAAACUGACGUUGAGGGACGAAGCCUUGGGGAGCGAGAAGGAUUAGAUACCCUAGUAGUCCUUGGAGAAAAUUAUGAGUGCCAUAGACUAAAGUGAAAAAGAAGUUCUUUUAAAAGAACUUUGUAUCUGAGCCUUAAUUGGAUACAAAGGUCUCGAGUAGCAGUUUAUAAAUGAAAGUGUAAGCAUUCCACCUCAUGACUAAAGCGGCAACGCCCAAAUUGAAAUCAUUAGACCGUUUCUGAAACCAGUAGUGAAGUAUGUUAUUUAAUUCGAUAACCCGCGAAUAACCUUACCACGUUUUGAAUUUAUUAAACAAGUGUUGCACGGCUGUCUUCAGUUAAUGUCGUGAGAUUUUGGUUUGUUCCAUUAAUUAACGAAAACCCUUGUUUCAUUUUUAUAUGAAAUAGUUCACCGUUAUAUUGGAAAGAUAAAAGGGAUCAAGACAAGUCAUCAUG
rnacentral:rRNA from 1 species